GUGAGGCUGGGAUUAGCGGCGGCGGGGCGAGUGGGGCCGGUGGGCGCGGGGCUCCGCGGAGCUGUGGUGGCAUGGAGCCCCUGGGGCGGCUGCAGCUGGGGGCGGGGAAGCCCGUUGUGGGGGCUGGAGGUAUUGGGAGGCUGCAGCUGUGCUCUGAGGGUGGGGAGGGCUGAGCGGGCGGCGAGCCGAGGUACGGAAAGGCGAAUGCGGCGGAGCUCGUGGUGUCGGUGCGGUCUCCCGGUAGCCCUGCUCCGGGCUCUACUGUUUGCAGGGUGCUGCAGGUGGGCAGGGCGUCUCCCAUCUGCGGCGUCAGAGCUGUGCGAGUGAAAGGUUAGAAAGAGCUUUGGUUCUCUUCUGCGAGUUCUCGGUGCCGUGUUUAAUUUCGGAGCGUAAUUAGGCCGCAUUUAGAUUCCUUGUGAGGUGCCCUGAGAUACCAUGUUGGAGAUGGCGGCUGUGCCCUGCUGCUCCGUUGUCUGCUUCCGUGCACAGCUUGUGACCAUCGUGUGCUGGGACACCUGUGCCAAAUUUUGUUGCCUCUUUACACAUCCUCCAAGUAGAGGUUGUAGGUGAUGGACAACCGACAGAUGGCACCAGGCCCUCCCAUACGCUCUAUGAAAAUGAUGAGAAUGACUUCCAAGGCUGUGAGUGGUGGCUGAUGAGAAGCUAAGAAGAGGAACCUCAAAGUUAAACUGAUUGGUAAACUAAUCCAAGCCUUUGGGUUUAUGUGCUUUUUUUUCUAACUAAUAUGUCUGACCCUUAGUUAUUUUGAUGGACCAGUGUUUUUAUGUUGCACUGCACAAGGUAGAGAAUCUCUAGGAUUUGGUACACUUAAAUUGAUGCUUCUUUCAAACAGACUGUUUUUGCUUUUCUGUAGGUGCAUUACGUUCUGGGCAGUGGCUUUUUAAUGAUUUGCUCGUGUCAAGUGACAUUAAUGCUUAGACAUAAUCAUAGUGAUGAAUAUAAACGAUUUAUUAUGAGGGCUGCAUUUCUGAAUGAGUGUUCAACACAGCAUGAGUGUUCUUUUCAGCAAGACUACAGGCAGCACGCUUAAGAAUGAGAGAAACAAGCGUCUGCCUUGAAUUUUCAUACAGAAUUUUUCCCUGGAGGACUGAUAAAACGAAUCAGAGCAAUUUCCUUUGGCAAACUAAAACUGUGGAGUUCGGUAAUGAUUGUGAAAGAUUUAUUUGUGUAUAUAUGCGAUUACGUUAUGUUUCAACACAUACUGAUUUCUUGAAAUGGAUUUUACUUUUUGCUUUGUAGAUGUGGCAUGAAAGGGCAUUUCACAGGAAAUGGAUCAAGAUUUGUCUAAUAUUUUUUUUCUCAAAAGUGAAAGUUUCUUUGUUAUCACAUGUGAUUUGCUUGUCUGAUUUUUCUCUGGAACAGAGAGUCUAGAACUGUGAGUCUGGUCUGGUGGUUGGCAACCAUACCCAUGAUGGUCUUUGAAACUAGAUGAUCUUUGAGGUCCUUUUCAACCCAGGCCAUUCUAUGAUUCACUUACUGACUUCUAGUGGUAGUUGCAGGCAUGAAACACUAACAGGAUCAGACCCUUAGAUAUUUUUUUUUAUAUCUGAAACUGUUAUUUGAACCUUGUAAGUCAGUGUAUGCUAAAUAUACUCAGCAUUUUAAUGAAAGCUGCAGUUGAAUCAUACAAAUUCAUCUUGUUAUUGGCUGGAAAAUACCUUAUUUUAUAAGUCAAAGAUCUAGGAUUCCUUAAAAUUCUCAAGUAAGUUCCAGUGGGUAUAAUGGCCCUAAAUUAUUCAUAUACAGCUCCAGGUUUUUAUUACGUUUUCUGAUUUACCUUUUUCAUAAAGUAGGAGCUCUGUAUUUUAACUGUGCAUAAGUCAAUACCUCAUUGAGAACACGAGUUGGAGAGAGAUGUUAUUUCACAUUAGGUAAUGCUAAGCUAUCACUGUUUCCUUCCCUGCAUGUCUCUCUUUGGGAGCUUUCUUCUGUUUGAGUUAUGUCACGCUGAAUUGGAACCUUAAGUAUGAGUUCUAUAUUCAUUUCCUUGUUGUUGCUUUGAGGCUAAGAAGCAGUCGCAGUAAGAGAGUUAAGAAAGUAAGAGUUAAAGUAAAGUAAGAGUUAGGCUGAGUGUGAGGAAAACUGCUGUUUUUUUUUUUUGUUGUUCCCUGUGCACAACUUAGCAGAAAUUGGAUCUCUUCUGCUUCAGCUUAGUCAGUCAGUGGCUAUUAGAAAAGUUCUUCUAGUUUUUGUUCUGCUGUGGAGAACAGGUGGAAGCAAUUCACUUUCCUGACCAAGGGGUGCAGGCUGGUUCCACCCUUUCCUAACCUCAUUUAAGGGCUGGCUGCCUCCAGGGAAGGAGCUCUGCUUGGAGGUCUGCCCUUUUGUAGUGUUUUGUGUGUCCUGUUCCUCAGAAAGGGGUAAGUAGUUCUGUGGUUAUUUACUAGGUUGAGUCCUCUGUGUUUCUUGGGUAAUUUAAAGCUGUGUCUGCUAAUGUCUAUGUCUGCAGUUGCUGCCCCAUGGAGGCCCCUCUUGGUUGACAAUGGCAGUUGGUAUCUGUGGGGUGAGAGGAGUCUGUGUAGAAGCGGUGGUACUUAGGAGGAAGACACCAUUUGUCUUUAUGCUUUAUAGGUACAAUCAGAUCAGAAAGCAUUGUGCUUUAUGGCACAGUUUCCUUGGCCAAAGGAUGCUUUUGCAGCAGAGGUUUGCUGUCAGGAGGCAUUAAAGCUCUGAAGAAAAGGUUGCUGUGCACUGGGCCUGGAGACAUCAGCUCACAGCAUGUCACUGGUGGUGGAUAUCUGCAAGCUUUGUGUCUGUCAAUGACUGCUCUGAAGGCUUUAUAGUCAGCUGUCCAUGGUUGUUUUGCUUUUUAGGGUGGAGGAACAGACGACAACGCACCGAUUGGAGUGAUGGUGUCCUGCUCAGAAAUGGAUGUGCUGGAUGGCAGAAGAGGAUUCUUGGCCAAGUAUGGAAUCAUCUCUGUUCCUUCACGAAGGUAAGUUUUUAAAAGUUAAACACACAGAGGUGGAUUUGCAGGGUGUCUUGAAGGAGGCGACCCCCACUUGACAUCAUUUUUCUCCUCCUUACUCUUCUCCCCUGUUUCUGCUUUACCUCUUCCUGCUGAUGCAGCAACUCAUUUACUCUUAAGUUCUUCUCCCUUAGUGUUAUCCUUCCCUCUUCUGCUGGGUCAUCUUCCCUCUGUCCUCACUCCUCUUCAGCUGGCUACUAAUUCUUCCUGUAACGGCUCCUAUUGUGCCAUUCUUUCUUCCCUGUAUCCUCACUCUUCCUUCAUCUGCACUCCUCUUCUGCUGUUCUUUCUUCUCUCUAUCCUCUUUCGUCUUUCUUCUGCAUUUCAUUUCCCCUUCUGCUGUUUUUCCCUGCUUCCUCACUCCUUUUUCAUCUGCAUCAGCUCUGCUCUUCUUUCUUCCCUCUCUUCUCACUUUUACAUCUGCACUCUUCUUAGGCUCUUCCUUCUUCCCUGCACUUCCCUCUCUGCCCUUUCCUCUUCUGCUGUUUUUCAACUCUAUCCUCAAUCCACUUCUGCAUCUCCACUCCUC
ensembl:lncRNA